CGGGCCCUGGUGGGCGGAACGGAGGGGUGCAGCGGCCCGGGCCGGGUCGGCGGUCUUCCUCCCCCCGCCCCGGCCCUCUCCGCCCGCCUGGGGGCCUUCCCGCCAAAGCCUCUCACCUGUGCCUGCCCAGCGCCCGCAGCUGCGGCGGCGGCGGAGAACCGCCUGAGGCGGCGCGUUGCUCGCGGGCUCCUGUCUUCGGAUCCACUGAGAUCCUGCUUCUGUACAAGUCCCUCCGCACGUUGAUGUCUGAGGAAUCGUUCUGACAGCAGCACGGUCGCUCACGGACGUCCUCACGGAAUGGCAGCGUUUGAAGACACACACAUCUCCCGAGCCAGGGACGUCAGAGCCUCAGCUCCUCCUAAAAUGUGAUAGAUCAAACCCCAAGGAAUGAAGGCCAUCGCCAGGGGCGUGCAGGUGACGGUGGAGCUAGGAUUGCAGAUCACCACACACCAGUCUUCCACGCAGUGGCCCAAGGAAGCAGGAACACAGUGAUUCUCAUAUUUUGAAAUAGACUACACAUGCCUUCAGAUCUUGCUUCCUAAAUGCCAAGCUCUGCUGAAAGGAACCAGACUUGAGAAAUGGAUGAUUUGAGGGCAGAAAGAGGGAAAGUAUGAAAUAUCCACGAAGCUCUUGUGCCAGAAGACAAGAUUUUCAGAGUAAUGGAGCACAUGUCAAAAGGAAACGAGAGCCAGCUUAAAAGCUACCCCCCCCCCCCCACUUACCAAAACCGGGACAAUUUGAGCAUCACCAGUGAGUAAGGAUCAAAAUGGGUUUAUAACACAAUGAAUUUCCAAAAAGAAUACACAAGGGCAUAUUCAUUCUUAAAACGUUAAAUAUAAAGGCAGGAGGGGAGAAAUAAUUCUUGACAACUAUUACACUGGAGGAAAUGAUGAAAUUAGGAAGUCACCAUUUUGCAACCAUUGUGGUAAUAAUUGAUUCUGAUAUGGAAUAGUCAAUAGAUUUUAAAAUCCUAAAAUAGUUAUUAAAAUCACUGGGACAAGAUAUUUACAUACUCCCAAAGUAUCCUCAGAUUUCUUAUUCAUGACAAAGUAGUAACAGUUGAGAAAUCGGACAGGCACCACCCUAACCAAAUAAUCAUGUAGCCAGUUAUGGGAAAAAAUAACAUGAUGUGCCCUUAUGAUGUGAGAUACUGAGAAGGAUACAAGAUCCCGUAUAUAUUCUGAAUCCAUAUUCUGAAUCUAAUCACAAUCAGAAAGAUUCAGAUUGAGAAAUGUUCUACUCAUCCACUGGCCUAUACUCUUAAAAGAAAGGUCAUUGUCAUGAAUGACAAAGAAAAGGCUGAAAUCUCUUAUAGAUUUAAGGGAUUAAAGAGACUGUCACUAAAGGCAACAUGUAAUCCCGAAUUCGGAGAAAAGUGCUAUGAAGGAAUGUUUUCAGGACAAUUGUUGAAAUUUUAAUAUAGGUUCUAUAUUAGAUAAUAGUUUUAUUUAAGUGUUAAGCUUCUUGAAUUUUGUAAUUAUUAUGAAAAAGUGUACCCUUAUUAAGAGACACACUGAAAUAUUUAGGGAUAAAAGCUUUUGAUAUAGGUAACUUACUCUCAAAUGGUUUAGCAAAGAUAGAUAAUGUGGCAAAAUGUUACACUGGUAAAUCUAGAUAGAGUAUAUGGUAGAUAUUGCAUUGAUCUUGCAACCUCUGUUUUAAUUUUUUAAAUGAAAAUGUAUGUGUAUAUGUAUUCAUUAAUUUAAUAUUCUUUGUGUAAAAUCAGCUGGUUCUUGGGCUGCCCACCUGCUCACUGUGCUUGUCUUGCACUCUCCCCAAGCAAUAUCUUAUUCUGCUGUGAAUUACAUUGUUUGCAAAAGUGAAGAGGGUGAGAUUUCUGGAUUGAGGAGAGUAGGAUGAGGGUUUGUCAAACUAGACCAGGAGCCCACAUAUAUAUACCUGAACACAAAGAGUUUUCAUAUACAUUUUGCCAGUUAGAUGAAUGUGUUUAAGUGCUCUGAGAGUGGAAAUUUGGGAAUUUGAUGAAAAGCUACUUACUCAAGAACCAGAAAAUGCUGUUGGAGAGGAUGUGGAGAAAGGGGAACCCUGUUGCACUUUUGGUGGGAAUGUCAACUGAUACAGCCACUCUGGAAAACUGUGUGGAGGUUUCUCAAAGAGUUAAAAAUAGGGCUACCCUACGACCCAGCAAUUGCACUACUGGGUAUUUACCCCAAAGAUACAGAUGCAGUGAAAUGGCAGGACCUGCACCCCAAAUGUUUAUAGCAGCAAUGUCCACAAUAGCCAAACUGUGGAAGGAGCCUCGGUGUCCAUCGAAAGAUGAAUGGAUAAAGAAGAUGUGUUCUAUAUAUACAAUGGAAUAUUACUCAGGCAUUAGAAACAACAAAUACUCACCAUUUGCUUCAAUGUGGAUGGAACUGGAGGGUAUUAUGCUGAGUGAGCCAGACUGCUGCUCUUCAACCCCUUCAAAGAAAUUCUGAAGCUGAAACUGGUAGGAAGCUGCUGGAGCAAUGGAUUCCAACUGUGGCAGUGAUGAAAUAUAAGGGAUGAGGAAGACAGAGAUAUUGAAGAUUGCUACCAGGCUUUUGACAGGAGUAACAGGUGCAACCAAUUACUGAGAGCUUACCAUGUACCAUUUACUCUGCUGGACACUAAACAUACAAAAGUGGAUGAAAAUCUGAACCCAGUCCUCAACAUACAAUUUAUUUCAUUCAGACACUUAGUCCUUAUUUCUCUAAUAUAUAUGAAGAUAUUGUGAAGACAAAUAAUUUGCCAAUAUCAACAUAUAUUAUGACUGGGUGCUGGCACAGAGUGAGUUGUGCUAGGAGCUAUGUGUUCUCAUUGCUGUUUAUAAGCUCUGAAUACAUAAUUUUGGAGCUCAGUGGAGAGAACUAGGUAGAAAAUUUAGAGAUUGAUUAUACUGUUAGGUGAAGUCAAGGAUGCAGAGGGUAUCAUGCAAUGGGAAUACCAAGCAUUGAGGAGAAGACAUUGCAGCCACCUGUUACUCACAGCUCAGGGGAUACACCCACAGAUUCAUGAGGGGCCUGGUUUUGAGUUUUCACCAUUAUGAGUCAUCUCUUAAGGGAAUAAACAUUACAAGUAAGUAAAGAGUCAUUCUUUUCUCAUCUGAAGUCUUAGAAAAUAUGUUAUAUUGUAAAAAAUGGAACCUUAUUAGCUAAUUUACCAGUAGACUUGUUAUUUCUGGUUUUGUAGGUGUAUUUUGGGAGCCACA